AUUGAACGCUGGCGGCAGGCUUAACACAUGCAAGUCGAACGAGUGGCGGACGGGCGAGUAAUGUCUGGGAAACUGCCUGAUGGAGGGGGAUAACCACUGGAAACGGUAGCUAAUACCGCAUACCAUCGGAUGUGCCCAGAUGGGAUUAGCUAGUUGGUGGGGUAAAGGCUCACCUAGUCGACGAUCCGUAGCUGGUCUGAGAGGAUGACCAGCCACACUGGAACUGAGACACGGUCCGGACUCCUACGGGAGGCAGCAGUGGGGAAUAUUGCACAAUGGGCGCAAGCCUGAUGCAGCCCUGCCGCGUGUAUGAAGAAGGCCUUCGGGUUGUAAAGUACUUUCAGCGAGGAGGCGUUACCCACAGAAGAAGCACCGGCUAACUCCGUGCCAGCAGCCGCGGUAAUUC
rnacentral:rRNA from 1 species